rnacentral:rRNA from 1 species
GCAUAUCAAUAAGCGGAGGAAAAGAAACCAACAGGGAUUGCCCCAGUAGCGGCGAGUGAAGCGGCAAGAGCUCAGAUUUGAAAUCGUGUUUCGGCACGAGUUGUAGAGUGUAGGCGGGAGUCUCUGUGGAGCGCGGUGUCCAAGUCCCUUGGAACAGGGUGCCUGAGAGGGUGAGAGCCCCGUAGGGUGCUGCGCGAAGCUUUUGAGGCCCUGCUGACGAGUCGAGUUGUUUGGGAAUGCAGCUCCAAGCGGGUGGUAAAUUCCAUCUAAGGCUAAAUAUUGGCCAGAGACCGAUAGCGAACAAGUACUGUGAAGGAAAGAUGAAAAGCACUUUGAAAAGAGAGUGAAACAGCACGUGAAAUUGUUGAAAGGGAAGGGUAUUGGGCUCGACAUGGGGGGUGCGCACCGCUGUCUCUUGUAGGCGGCGCUCUGGGCGCCCUCUGGGCCAGCAUCGGUUCCUGCUGCGGGAGAAGGGGCUCCGGAAAGUGGCUCUUCGGAGCGUUAUAGCCGGGGCCAGAUGCCGCGUGUGGGGACCGAGGACUGCAGCUUCUGUCUCGGAUGCUGGCAUAACGGCGCAAUACCGCCCGUCUUGAAACACGGACC